rnacentral:rRNA from 1 species
ACCGAUAGCGAACAAGUACCGUGAGGGAAAGAUGAAAAGAACUUUGAAAAGAGAGUCAAACAGUACGUGAAAUUGUUGAAAGGGAAACGAUUAAAGUCAGUCGUACUGAUGGGGAAUCAACCUUUUGAGUGUGGAUUCGUGGGAUUCAGAGAGUCUUUGUCCUUGCGAUAUUCGCGUUUUUUUGGUGCACUUCCUCGUUUGUAGGUUAGCAUCGGUUUUGACCGUUAUAAAAUG